GCUGGGGAUUGUAGGCCUUCGGUCCAGCACCAGCUUGGGUGUCUGUGCACUGGCACUCUGUGUCCGCUCACGCCCGACCGCGCCUCCUAUGACGCACGGACGUGUGGGAGGGGCCAAGGGGUAUAUCUGGACUGUGUCUGGCUGUGGAGCGUUAGUGUGUUGUGCACUCCUGUGGAGUUAACUUGUGCUGCUAAGACAGACGAACCAGCUUGUCACUAAAUCUGACUAGCCUCCGGUCUCAAGCUAGGCAUAAGCCUCCACAGAUGCUAUACCUGUAUACCUGAGCACUUUGGCCACUUUGCUUCUGGGUGCCGCCCCCUGCCUCUCCGAUGGUUGGGGACUGUGUGAAUCCCAUCUGCAGCGGUUUCUCAUUUUUUUCCUGCCUAGGUUAUCCUUUUGGCUGUCAACUUGUGUCCAUCUGGCCUGAUUUUUCAGGAAGGUGAUGGUAUCAGGGUAUUAUACACCCUGUUGUUUGUUUACAUCCACUACGGACCAGCAGAAUCCAAACUCUGAUCUCAACCACCCCUGAAGAAGCCUAACCAGGCGAAAUAUAUAGGGUUUACCAACCGGGUUGUGAUCUCUGCUACAGUAUUUAUGUCUGUUAUGGAAACCUUUUAACCUUGUUAUACUUGUUUAGGUUGUUUUGGUUUAUGAAUUGGACUCCGUUAGAGUCCAUGAUAUGUCCUACAACCUGACGCUAUUUUUUUAAAUAAACUAUUAAAAUUUAUAGUACUUGUUCUAUUUUUCUUUAUGGGUUUCUGCUUGCACCGUUAUAGUCCCGCCAUUGUUCGACUUUCCCAUAUAUAAAUUUGGGAUGAGGUGCUCUUGUCAAUGAUACUAUUUUUCAGUCUAGACCAGCCAGAUCCUAUCC